GUUAUAUUUACAAAAGCCAAGAAUGCCACUGAAGUGAGCUGCCCGAAUUCCAUUAGGAGAAAAAAAGUGUAAGAACCUGAGUUUUGUUCAAAUUAGAAAAGAAAAUCCUAGGGCUCAUCGGAUUUCGGUGAUACCCUAAGAUGUUCCCAAUAAAAAGAAUGCCACCUCUUUCCUUUAGGUAUUGCCCCUCAUCCUUGAUCAAUCCGCCGUCAAAACACAUGGGAUUUCCCUUAAAUUUUCAUUGAGAUCUUUUGAUGGGCUACCAUUGAUUCCCUCACCAGAACAAGAUAAUCAGCCCCUACCUCUCUUCCAUCUAUAUCUCCAGAUCUCUUAGCCAUUGUUGAUGGUUUGAUUGUCACAAGUUGGUCACUGAUUCUAGCCAUGAAAGUGUCCCAUAUUUCAGGCUCCAUUUUGCUUAUUCUUUCCUUCAUCCACCGUUAGUCACCGUGGUCGUUAUUGCUGCCAUGAUCUUCACUCAGGGCUCACUGCUAGAGCUGCUGGGCCACUUCCACUAUGGUUCGCCACCAUGGGAGGUGGCCAGCAUAAAGUCCCCC
rnacentral:lncRNA from 1 species